UCCAAACCCUAUUCAUUUCAUUCGGCCGCUCUUGCAUUCUUCAAACCCUAAUCUUCUUCAUCUUCAACCCCCCAAAAGCACAAACCUGGUGAAAACCAAACCCCGCAAGACCAAAAUUCAAACACUCAUCUUCUUUCGUUCACCUUAUCACUCUCUCUCGCAAACAGGAAAGAGGACUCAAACCGUAUACACAAAUCUCAGAAAACCAGAUCUGAGUCUUUUACAUUCAAAUCUUAUGGUUGGUGAAGACAGAGAGUGUGGCUCUUCUUUUUUGUAUGGAGCCUUGCGAUAAUCUGGAUUUCUUGAAAGACAUGGAAUGGGAUCUGGGGUAUUGGUGUCCACUUAUUGAUAAUAUAUGUUUCUUGCAGUAGCUUUGUAAGCUUUAAGAUAUUAGGUAUAUCUUACAAUCAGAUCACCGGUGAAUCCCAUACAAUAUUGGGUCUCUCCAAGAUCAUUUGCUGAAUGAGGUGGUGACCCUUAUUUCUAAUCUGACUGAAGAGAAAAAUUAUGCUUGUAGAGUUGGAAGGAUAUAUUCGUCCUCGAUGUACAACCUUGACUAUUUUUAUUGAAUGCCAAGGUUUAUGUGGUUGAAGGUGAUGUCUCUAUAUAUGUGUUCAAUAUUCAACUUUUAUGUAUGAUCCCAACUGUUGCAGAUGGCAUAGCUCGCAAAAGCUUGCACCGAAUGAGGAUAUGUGACAAAGGACAAGCAAGAUAGAAUAGCAUAACAAAAUGUUCCAGUUGAAGGUCACCGGGGAAAAGUCGUUGAAUUUAAUGCUGAGGUUCAAUUGGAGAAGACUUAACGCUGAGGCAUGCUUCCACGCGAUGCCGCGAUUCCCAUCCCACAACCAAUGCCUAUUACAGCGUUGGCUUCCGCUCUUGCUAACGCGUCACUAGAUCAAAAGAGGACGAUAGCUGGGUAAGAAUCUAUAUCCGUUGGACCAGCUAAGGUGCUUUUGGAGAUGGACCAAACGGAGGUGUUGCAUUUGCUGGAAUCACCAGAUGCAUUGAAGGUGAAAGUUACUGGCAUGACUUUGCUUCUAGGGUUUUGUAUACGAUGAGUCGAUGAUAUUCAUCUUCUACAUAGCUAUUAUUGGUUCACUUGGAGCCUGAAGCGAAAAAAA